UGAUAGCGCUUAAGCGCGAA
rnacentral:snRNA from 1 species